AGUUGAGCUCUAAAAACUCACAGGGAAGAAACUGGGAACAAACAAUUUCCCUUUCCUUCCGAGAUUCACAUUGUCACCUUCAUCCACCGUGUGCUCUCCAGCUGCUGUGACAGGUUUAUUUUACAGCAAGCAUCCUUCAAAUCCCAGUGCACAGAAAACCAACUUGUGAGGCAGCAGCAGAUGCCUCGAUGUUACGAGCAUCUGCUGAAGGCAGAGUGGGGAAGAAGAGUUGGGUAGACCAUGUGUGAUGUGGGUGCUCCCAGGCUUAGCCAGCCCUGCUGAGCAUAUGGAGAACUCGAAUAGCUUUUCUUUAGCACUCAGCAGAGUUCACGUUUGUCCAGAUAAAUGCAAUGAUUCUCCAUUUAAAAACAGAAUAUAUUCCCCCCCCAUAUUAACAGGUCUAGAUGGAAGAACAGUGUGCAGAUUUGAAGUCGAUUUUCAUUAGUGGGAAGAAAAAUAAACCAGAAAGGCUUGGCAUUGUGUGCUAUGGGAAUAGGAUGGGAAUCUGUUUUGGAAGCAUGAUAGGAAAUCUCAAAGUAAAGGUGCCAGAUUUCCGAAGUAUCUUGAUUUCUAGGUCUCAUGUAAGGGCUAGAAGUUCAUAAAUCUGGGGGCUUGUGCCUGUUUCUCCUUUGAGUUUCCCCCUGGCUUCUCUCUUAUCCUAAAAUCCCUGCUUAGGGACUGGCAAAUAUUUGCUCAAGACAUCUGGGAGGAGACUUGCCUCUAAACAUAUUACUUUUCUAUGCUGCUCUGUGUUUUUUUUAAGCUAUUUGACUGUAUAUUUGAGUUUGGAAAGUCUGCUGUAUAACCCAAAGUGAUGAAGACAAAAACAUCCAAAGUAGAAAGUGGAAGCAAGUUGGUGAGAUUGGUCUCUCAAAUGAUGCCUGAAGUCAGGAAGAUAUGAAUCAGAGCAGAACAGCGUGAGUGCAGAGAUGUAACAUGCGCCUCUUUGUGUUCUGUGUGCAGCUUUGGAAGAGGCACGCAGCUGCCUUGGAUCCAGUUUGAUUUCUAUUUUCAUGUCAAUCAGAUUGUUUUGAGAUUGCUUAACGCUCUCUUCUUACAUUAUGACAAAAAAUGAUUCAAAUCAUGGACAUUGAGAUGUAUGAUUUUGAAGCAUCAAAACCAGUCAUUUUUCAUUUUGGUUUCAUUCAGACCCCCAACCCAUUGGGGGAAACCUGAAAUCAACAUCACCUUUAUCAACUGAAUUCAGUUCCUUGGUUUGGUUGUUGGUUCUCACUUCCCUACACCUGCUGCACCCAAAAGGAAUGAAGGUAAGUUUUGCUCCAUGAAAAGAAGAAAAACCCAUCCUUCCCCUAUGGAGGAGCAUUGAGACCCUCACAGCAUUCCCACCUAAUUGGAGUUGUCACUUCAGCCUUGUGCUGUGCUUAGGGCAGAACUCACUUCUGUGCGUGCUGCAGACAUCUGAGGGUUGACCCACGCUGGGCACCAAACCCCUAUCUCAGUUACCUGCUAAUUGGCAAUGCCAUUAGUAUUCUGGGCAGAGAAGAAAUGAAAUGUCACAGGGAACGGCCCUGGGGAUGAGUGCCUGCAGCACAGGCGUGUGGGGAGAAGCGGCUGCAUCGCCUCCGUAUCUCUGCUGUGAGUACAGGAGGCUGAUUUCUUUGUGCUCUGCUCUACAGCUGUCAGUCUGGGAUGCAGCAGCAACACCAGAUUCACUAAUUUGACAAGACAGCGCAGACUGAAAGCCAAUGCUCUGGAAUGGCACCAGCUCGAAGUCAAUUUUUGUUUUCCAGUGGAACUAACAAAUAGAGUCCUUGGCUUCCCCAAGACGCACAAAGCAUUUUAUUGGGAAACCUUCUCUGCUUUUUUCUCUGCUUCCCUGCUCUUAUUUAAAAGACCAAAAGACCGAAAACAUUCAAAAAUAUUUCUCUUUUUUUGUUUCAGGGGGGAAGGAGGAGGAGGUGUUGUAUAGGGAGAUCGACAGCAGUUGCUACGUAGGGAUUUGUGCUGAUACCUUGAGAACUGCAGUGUGUGGGGUCCAAAAUGCAGCUGUGUCUGUGGCUGGCAGGCUGUUUGCUUGCUAGGUUGGUGUUGUGGGGGGCCAUGCCUUUCCCCAGAGCCACAGGGGGGCUUUUCAAGUUCCACUGAAGCUCCCAGCAAGGGCUGGUGAGCUUCUGUUCAUACUUUGUAUGUCAAUGUGGAGAUCAUGACUUCCAUUGGUGUUCUGAAUCCAGCAUCCUUUGUUGUCCAUCUCUAUGGCCAAGCUGGGAGCUGCCUCAGAGUCUGCUUUUCUUUGGUUCAUCUUGUUUUGUUUCAAUCUUUUAGUUGUUGGUUUUUGGGCUUUUGGGGUCUUUUUAGAGGAAGACAUUAAGGGUGUUUGUUCAUUGUGUGGGAAGAAGACCUGGGGUUUGAUGCAUCUUCCUGAGUUAAAACUGCCAACGUUGAUCAUACAUCCACUUCAUGUGGCUUCUUCAAAUCUCUGUUCCCUGUGUAGAUCAGUAAUGCAUUUGUGUUGGAUUAAUUUUACCUUGACAGAGCAACAGCCUUCUGAAGCAUUUCCUUCUUCGCUCAAACCCUUGGGACAUCAUUUUUGCCUUUUUGACUUUGUUACUGAAAGUUUAUCUUUAUGCUCCAGCCAGCGCACAUCUGACUGCUUCACGCUGUGCUCUUCAGAGGUAAAACAUGCCCAAAAAACAUACCAGAGGGAUUCCAGCAAUGUUGGUAGUGCUGUCAGGUUCACUUCUGUCACCUACCUGCCUUCGCCCACGGGAACGCCGCGGUAAGCAGCAGAAACGAUCGAUUAAUACACAGUAUGGAAAAUAGGCAGCUGUUAACGUGUCAUCUAAAUUUAACUCCAAGGGCCAUGUUUACUUUUGAUAUGCUGGUGUCAGUAGCCUCGUGUAAAUUUGGAAUCAAUUCUUCUGGUUCCAGACCUGUUUUAGAUCUAUCUGAAUUCAGAGUGUUUUGAGCAUCUGCACGUGUAACAAAUUAAAUGACAGGCAAUGUGCUCCUUUGUUGGCCAGUGGGUGGCUGUUACUGCUCAUAGUGAAGAGAGCUGAGCUGGAAACAGGCUUUGAGGUUCUAUGGGAAAUCUCAUUUUCUGUUGGGCUGAACUGCUGUGGCUGUCUGCUCCUUUUACAUGGCCGUGUCUUCUCCUUUUACAGUGUGUACAUGCAUGGAUAUGAUGGAAAGCAGAGGUGAGAGAUGCUUAAAUCACAGCUGCAGAGCAUCCCAGGCACUACAGGUAUAGCUGAGAUGGUUGUCUUUAGUUUUGAGCUCUGUGAUAUGAAAGCUUGCUGUGCUCUGGAACAGGAGCUCUCAAUACUUCUUCAGUCUCACUGGGUCUUGGAAGAAGCGAGCAUUAACAUUCACAGAGCUGCUGCAGUGGCAUGGGAAGAAUAACAUCACCUCUUGCCUUCUGCAGAGUCCCGAAACAAGAGGAUUCUUUAAGGGUCAGCAAAACCAGUCCCAACAUGGAAGAGCUCUGGAAAUUAAUUCAUCCCUGCGUCUGAGCUGUCUGACAGCGAUCCUUUCGCUGUGUAACCUGUUCUGUGCUUUCAGACUUUCUAGGUGCGACACCGCUGUGACCCGAUUGCAAACGAGCAGCGUUUAUGGCAGCGCUGCUGGAGUCUCAACAGGAGUGUGGGACAACCUCUGCCUUGAAGGCUGUGUUCAGGCAACCUGAAUUCUUCCUCAUCUUUUCCAAGUGCCAACUUGGAAGAGCCUUGAAAAAUCAGGUUGUCAUGUCACUGCAGAAACAGCCAUCGAAGGAGGAGGCCUUUGGAGGAAAUGCUGAGAUCAGUCCCAAGCACUUGACCAAGCCACUGACCAAGGACAGUGUCAGCAGAAGGGGCAAGAGGUUUCUGUUCUAGUUUCAUUCUUGUUAUAACAGUUGAUAUUACGCCCUUUACAAGACUGCAGGAUGACUGGCAGUAGACAUAACUGCAGGGAAGCAUCUGUGUCUUAGAGUUUGUCAUGGGUUUUAAAGAUGUUCCGAGUGCCACAAACUUGAGUCCAGCAACUCAAUUCAUUGAGGUAAGGUUCUUUUCUUGGGUGUCUUCAGGAAGAAGCGGGUUAGGAGCCAAUAAAAGGUAUCAAAGAUGUGUGGAUACUGCUCAGUGUCCUUAAAAUCCCCCUGUAACUGAUGUGUUAGUACCACCAGCAGUCAACUUGUAAGGGGUAUUUCAAAGACUAGUUCUAGUUUGCCAUAGGUCAUAGACAUAGGUCUUACCCUAUGUUUCAUUAUAUUAAACUGCUGGAUUAUAAUCUGGUCUAUCUACAAAGCAGCAGGUGCACUUGGUAUGUUGUUAUAUAGAACACUGAGGGUUUUCUGGGAGGAAGAGCUAGAGGAUUGCUAGGUAAAAAAGCUGCAUUUAGUAAAGCCAGUACUUGGUUAAAUGUAUGACUCAACAAAAUGAAAUUGCUCUGGAUUUACAUUGUGGAAAUAGUGCAGAUUGGACCAUUAUCAGCUCUUCCUUAUGGACGUGCUGCUUGGGGAAAAUUACAUAGGUGCAUUUACGUGAUAGAGCUGGCGGACAUUAAGUUGGAACUGAAGCAACUCAAAUUCAGCCUACAGGUAGAAAUGAUUAUUUACUGCUUAUUGCUCUUUCAAAUGGAAAAGCAUCCGCAGGGUUUUUUUUUUUUUUUUGCAGUGGUCUUUUUAAAUUCAUCAGCAGGUUUAAGAAAAUAAGAAGUUUUGUGUUUGUUUUUUUUACCUGCUCCUCAGCAUGUUACUGUGUGGUGGAACUCAUUGCCACAGGGCGUGUUGGAGGACAAAGUUACCUGUGAGUUCAGAGGGAAAAAUAAGAGAUAUUCACAAAGCACACUAGAAGGUCAAAGCGAGUUCUUCUGACUUGGAAAAUCAGCAAGUCGAUGGUUCUUUAGAAAGUGGGAAGGAGAAAGGAAGGAUCAUUAGCUUUCAAUUGGACAGUUGGUCAUUGGACAAGGCCAGUCCAGCAUUUAAUGAUAAGUAGAAGGUUUGGAAUGAGCAAAACUCAGGUUUGCACAAUGUUACUUUUUUUUUUUUUCAGGUAAGGGGAAAGUUAAAAGGAAAUAACUUCUUUUUUUCCUUCUCAGUAACAUUAUCUGAAUGAGAAUUUCUUGGCUUUGUGGAAGUCGGUGUUUAGUUUCAGCUGCAUGAAAUGUGGUGCUACCACGGAACUGAAAUGGUCUCAUUUGGGGAAUAGAGGUGACUCAUCUUCAAUCUUCCUGCAAAAACUUUCAGUGUAAACUUCUUCCUUUUUUUUUUUAAUAUCCUUGAGUUUUGGGUGAGCUGGUUGGUGAUAAAGGGGGUGGGUUUCUUUUUUUGUGCUUUUGAGGGUUUCUUGAGAAGGCACAGCGACUGAUAACUCUCCAAAUGAUAGUCUUCCCUCAACCUGGGUAUGAGAGCAGAGUCAGAAGAUGAGCAGCGCUGUAAGACGCCCUCAUAAAAAUGUGAGCUGAAAUGGAGAUGGGAUUCAUUUAUUCUGGUGCAAAUCACAGGAUGAAUCCUUCAGGAUUCAGAGUUCCAGCCAUUAUUCCUUCAUAGAACCAUCAGCUUUUCACUGUUGCUGACCAAAUUAUUUCUUUCUAUGCUUAGCAAUGUUGUUAGCAGAGAAUCUGUGUCCUUGGAAGCCAACAGCAAAAAGGUUGUUUUGUAGAGUUUCUUGGUGAUAUCAUUCUAUACUUGCCUCUUUGCCUAUGCAAUUCAAUUGUCUGUUAAGGAAACAAGCAGGUCCUGAAGUAUGAAGUGGUUCCUUUCGUAAUGAUUUUAAUGUUUCAUAAUUAGAAAUGGAAGGGGUAUGGAAGGCCUGUUUUAAAGCGACUUUCCUGCAAAAGGUUUACAUUAAAAAUUAAGGUGCUUCACUAUGCCAAUUUCUUGCUCUUUCUGUCCCUGACUAAAUACAGUGUGAAUGGUGAGAUUAAAGCAUUGGGAUCAUCAGAAUUGCCUUCAUUUAUUCAGCUUCUAUGAGGGCUGAUUUAACUUAAUAACUCUCAUGCAGCCAACUUGGAUAACACGAUAAAUAUGUGCUUUACUGAACCACUGUUAUUUCAGAUCAUUUAUUUUCAUUAACCCAUCACUCACUUUUAUAUUUCACCUCCUACCAGUGUUGCCCUGGAAAUGAAUUCCCAUUUUUCAGAUUGCGUGCUGCUAUUGGAACCAUCAGCAAAUCCUCUAUACCAGAUGCCAUCAUCUGUGACACAGAAUCCCUGAAGAUUAAGAGAAGCUCAUCCUUGUAGUUUGUUCCAUUCACUUGAGCCUAUUUGUUUUGUUCUUUAAUGAGCAUUGGUCUUUUCUUUGUGCUUCUCUGCGUCUUUUCCUCUGAUGUUUGUUGCAGGUGAAUUUUGCAGAUGAUCUGGAGGCAGCAACGUACCUCGAACUGGGUUGUUUUAAAGCUCUUGGGCGCUUUUAAAUUCUUCUAUAAUCAUUGGAAGUGAAGCUCUAUAAGGAGCCGAAGCAGUACCGUGCGGUUCAGCUAACAGUACAGAGGAAGUCAAAAGUACUUGUUUCCUGUGGACUUCUGGUUGAGUUGAAUUUACAGCCCCUUAAAAGAGAUGCCUGUAUUGAGGACAAGAAUAGCGGGGUAUUUUCAGAAGCCUUCGCAUAAUGAAAGCAUUUCAGAUUGGAUGCUCAAGCACGCAAGCCCCUGAAGUCUUCUGUUUGUGGCAUCUUCUGAAAGGAGUUCUCCUGAAAUUGGAAGACUAGCCAAGCUUUUAUAAGAGCUGUACAGCAAGAUCAUCCAAGCAAUUGUAAUGUUUAUGGCUUCUCAGUUCUCCAGGAGCGUAUUGAGGUGUUGACACACAGUGCUAUUACCUUGGGGAAGCUGUUAGAGGUUGCUUCAUGCUAUGGUAUGGACUUCUAUUCAUCAAGAGUAGUUACCUCUAUCUUGAUAGGAAGAGAGAAGACAACAGUAAGAAUUACUGCAUCAUAUCAGGUGCAUCUGAAGUAAUGCUCAUAGAGAGGUGACGAUGGCAGGAACAUCCCUACCUCAUCUGGACUGAGAGCUUCAGAAUUGUUGUGGCUGUAUCCCAAGGUUUCAACUAACAAGAACUCUGGUGGUCCUACCUAACACUGCCUACUCCAUUGAACUCCCAGAAGCUGCUCUGCUAUUAUCUGUCCAUACCUUGAAUAUCAUUGGCCUGUUGUAAGCACAAGUCAGAGCGACUACAAAGAAGGAAUGAAGGAAGAAAUGCAUCUGGGCUUGUAUCCAAUUGGAUUACUGUCAACCUCAUCCAGCUGAGAAGGGAAAAGGCAGAUGUAUUGAUGGUCACCAAAAUGAGAUGGAACAAAAGACAACAACCUGAGCAGAGAAGAAAAGGAUAUUGGGUACGAUUAAAGAAAAAGCACCAUAGCUGCAUUGGUGUGAAGCAAGGCCUCAAAUCUGCCAGUGCACUCCUUCUUUCUGGAAAACUCAAGUUGCAGUCUAAGAUUUGAGGAGUAACUUCAGAACUGUAAAAGUACUACACUUACCUUGGAGCAGUGAUGAAUUUCAGUUCAUUUGGCCCCAGUCCUGGAAAACAUCCUCAUUAAAACAUGUAUUGAAGCCCACGCUUAAUUCUCAUCCUGCCAUGUUUAAUUGCUGGCCUGGAUAGGCAUGGAGUAGCUGUUGUGGGACUGGUAUUCAUAAAAAGUCACUCCUUUAUGAUGGAGAAGAAUCUAAAAUCUACCCAAACAGCAAGUAUUCUGUGAAGGAAACAGAGGCAGUCCCUUCAAACCCAAGCCAUUCUGUGAUUCUACGAGGAUAGGAGAGGAUAACAGUUUUCUCUCCCCAGCCAGUUUUUCAUCCUUUCAGCUUUAAAAAGAAACCAGUUCUGAGAAUUGAAGAGUGGACCGAUUCUGUAAGAUUCAGCUCAGUGUGAGCAGCUCUUCUAUUGUGUGCACUGAAAGAUGAGUCACUGCCCUUCAAGAGCAAAGCUGGGAAUCAAUAGACCUCUGUGAAUUAGAUAAUGUGCUAAAAUAUGGAUAUCUGCAAAGGCAUGAGAAUUGCAACUAAUGUGCUAUGUCAUUUGUUAGGUUGAGUGCAAGAGAAAGUUGGUCUUCCAGUAAAUGUAAUUUGAGACAAAUUUUCAGCGUGCAAUGGACUUCUGACAUGAUUUGGCAAGGUUCUGGAGUAUUAACAUUGUCCUCGUGAACCAGUCACACUGUCACUAUAGUUCUGCUGCUAGGAAGGCCUUGGAUGCUUUGAAAGGCCUAAUCAAAAAGAAAUUGGAGCCUUGAGCUUGGUUGUUCUCUGUGGAUGAGCAAGUCUUUGAAGCUGAACCAUUGGCAAUCCAGGCUGUUCCAGGCAUACGGACUCUAGAAAACCUCACGUGGACCGGGUCACCAUCGUGCUUCAGCUGAAGUCAAAGGAACAGCAUCAGGCAGUGGGUUGCGCCUUGUUAGAACAUGGGUGAGUGUCUUCCAUUUCCCUUGGAUAACAAGAGACCCAAGGCCUGAUUCACAUCUGUGUCACCCAAAACAUCCACAGAUGUGACACACACAUAGGAGAGAUGCUCCUGAGAACAACCUUUCUGCUGCUGGCAGUGAAACUGAUCUUUGCUUUACAGAUGCCAGCACGUGGACUUGGUGCCAAAUGGCGAAGCUGGCUCCUGCCCAGUGCUUAACUCCAGUUUGGUGUUGGCAUAAAUGCUGUUUGCCAUGGCCAAGUUGCUUUGCCAAGUUGAGAUAAGCUCUAAAAGAUGGAUUUUUAUAGACUCACAGAGCAGCUUGGGUUGGAAGGUCCAUUCCAAUGACGAUGAACCUUUCUAUGAUUCUAUGAUUCAAAAGUAUUUUUCCCUUAUUUUGCUGCACUCAAGACCAAAGGUUUCUUGGACUCCAAACCACCAUCGCCAACAUACAAAGCUUCCUUUGCAUCUUCAGCUUGUGACAAACAUCCAUGCUGUCAAAAUAGCUCUUGCACUGGAGCUGUCUCCACAUUUGUGUCUGUCUACCACCACCUACGGGACAUUGGCCCCCAUCAGACCCCAGCCAUGAUAAGCCCCACAAUAAGAGGUUUGUUGGGUUCAUAUUGGCAAGGAGCAGUUGGAGCAGAGUGAAGGUAAAGCCUACAUGUUGGCCAAGCUCAUCUUUGCUCAUGGUUUAACACAGACACAUGAACAAACUCAAGGGGGAAGUUGUAGUAUAUUUAGGGCCAUUGUAGCAUUGAUGAGAUGAUGGUUUGCAUUCCUGCCACAAAAGGUUGUUUUUAUUGUUGUUUUUAAUCACUGGCACAAAAUAAUCCCAAUAUUUGCUUUUUUCUUUCCUCCCGUGAAGCAACAAAGUGACAAAGCAGCAAAAUAAAUAAUCGUAUCAUUGUCUACACAGAGCAAGCAAAAUUGGGUUUGCAAAGUGAAAUAAAGGAAUCAAUCACUUGCCAUACACAAAGAUAUUUUUAAGUAAUUCUUGAAGCAGGUGAAGUUUUAGGAUCAGAGAAGUGGCUGUAAUCAAAAUGCUGGAGGAAGAUGGGAUUCGUUCAGAAAACUAAGUGCCUCAUUAAAAAUCAAUCUCCUUUCUGCACAUUCAAAUAGCGUAUUGAUUAUCAUACUGUACCACAUCUCUUUAUAGUCAUAUUUGCUUGAGAGAGUUAAAAAAAACCAACAUGUUGUGUCGUAUUUACUACAGUAUUUACCCACCUAUAACUGCAGGAUAGCACCAAGAAAGUCAACAGAAGGAAGUUGGGUUUCCUGCAGGACAGCUGCAUGCGUUGGACCAGUCGUGCAAGGAGUUUAUCUGCGUUGCUCUGUUCCUAAUUGCCAUCCCGACCCUUUGGGGUGAGUUCACACCCACCCCACACUGCUGAGAUUGCUUUGCUUCAGCAUCAGCGCUGCUUUCCCAGCAAAGUCAGAGCUCCCUGUCCCUGCAGAGCACGGUGCUGAGGAUUUGCAAGUGAAAACAGCAAAACAAGAGGUUGAAGGGGAAAAAUGGUUAUUAUUCAAACUCCAUUUCCUGAUUACCAGCAUGCUAUCUCCUAAUUUAGAAGCAGGCGGUCCCUUGAGUCUCCCUGCUCAUCAAUUAUUUUUUCUCCUGCCUACCAAAGCCAACCCAGCAGAUAGAAGAGAGGCAUCGGGGCUCACCAGCAGCAUUGUGGUCCUUUUGGUUGCUGAAAAAGACUCUGUGUGUGCCCACAGCGUGACUCUGGAUUACGGAGCCUUGUGUGAUCCCAAGCCCUUGGGUGGGAGCAGACCCUGGUCAUUGCACCCAACUGGAUGGAGCCACCCCAUUUCAAGUGGGCCCUUCGCAGCUGCUUCUGCUCAAUGGGGUGAAAGCAAAUCCAAGAGAUUUGCCCCGAAAUCAGUAGAUUUGGAGCACGACAAAUGAAGUGUGACAUGAAUGGACAUUGCAAUGUUGGUGAACAGGGUUCCACACUGAUCUGCUUACCUCAGGUUGGCCCAGCACAUGCUGGGAGUGCUGCCAGCAAUCCAUCAAAGCACUGAUGUGGUGCAGGAUUUAACUCAGCUGCCCUCAUUCCAACUCCUCUGUGGCCCAUGGGGAAAUCGAGGCUCCAGAACUGCCAGUCCAGCAUGAAAUCCCCAUUAAAAUACACACACACUUCACAGAUCCCAGAGCCAUGGGGUGUUAGCCCUAUAAUUGGGCAGGUUAGGCUCACCUUAGGGUUUAAUAGCAAUUUAAAUCUCUCUCUUGCUCUGAUGCAAAAAUAUUAAGGCUUUGAUCAAGGCCUUUCAGUCUUUCAGCUGUAGAGACAGUUCUCUCAUAAUGAACCAGGGGACCCGAGAGUUUAAGACAUCAAAACUAGGCAAAAUUUCUAUUUUCCAAGCUGCCCUUUUCCUGUCUCUUCCCACUUCUCGUUAUGAGUUAGGGAUGCUUUAUUUGUCAGGCUAAUGAUAAUGAAUGCAUUGAUUAAACAUAAGAAAUCGUGCACCUAGAGCAAAGAAGAAACCCAAACCCGCUACUGGAGGAGCCUGUUUCCUAGGAGGUUUCCCUCUAUUACAGAUAUAUUUAUUUGCAAUCAGAAGAACAUUUCUUUCUAGCAAAAGAACAAACAAGCAUUUUCUCUGCAGCCUAAUGGGCAGAGACAUAUGUUUCUUAAUAAACAUAAGGGAGAAUGGCUUUUUCUGCACUCAGGAAUUAGCAUUCAGGAGUCCCACAACGUUUACAAAUCUCUGUGCUUUUUUUUUUUCCCUUUUCUUUUUAUUUAAUUAAGGCAGUUUUCAGUCUGUGUCCUCCGAAGUCCUGGUGGUUUCGCUGAGUGUCUCCACGAUCGUUUAGGCUGUGCUCAAAUGUUUCAGUAUCUAAGUUUUAAUUAGGAUGGGGUUUCCCUGCUUGGCUGAAUGUCAUUAUUUCACACCAGUGGAAACUGCUGUGAUGUCCUGAACUCCGCUGUCUUCACUCAAUGUCCCAUUACAUCCCUGAGCUCCUGCUGUCUCCCAUGGUGCAGGCACUUCUUCACCGGUGGUUCUAAGAGUCUGAUCCUAUGUCAUAGCGUCACAGAGUCAGGAAGGCUGCAGAAGACCUCUAAGAUCCCCAACUCCCCUGGCACAACUUAAAGCCAUCACCUCCCAUCCCAACACAGUCACCUGGGAGACCCCCACCUGGCCACAGCCUCCUUUCAGGGACCUGUAGAGAGCUCAGUGGUUCUGUAAAGAGCUCUAUAUUACUUUGAAAGCCGGAUCAGCAUCAUAAGGUACAUAAGGAUAAUAUCUGCUUUGCAAAUGCAAACUAAAAGGCUGGCUGUUGCCAUAAAGCCUGAAGCCCACCUCCUAGCAGACCCCUUCUUGCUGCAUCUUAUGCCCUCCAAUGAAUGAGGUCCUGGGAUCCAUGGAUACCUGCAGUGCCUUUCCAUCCCCAUUCCUUUGUAUUCUGAGCACAGCAUCGUUAUUAGCAAUGAAGUUUUUAUAUGUUACAGUCAGCCCUGCCGGGUCAUGAUGUGCCAUAAAUCUUUGACAAGUCAAGCGCUGCCUCUUUCUGGGUACAGUAUAUGCUUGGCUCCAUUAAGAAUAAUAGCAUGAAUAACCAUAAGCCAUUAAUUUUGACGAGAUCAGACCCAUAUCACCUUAAAAAGAGUGUGCUGAUACCAUGGGAGACAUUUGGUGGUUUCCGCUGCUCACUCCCUUAAUGAAUAAAAAUACAGCAGUGGCUGCAGAGUGCCUGACAGGCAGCACCCAGAGCCCAGGGACAACUCAUCCCACCAGCAGCACAGGGGAAGGCAUGGGGGAAUGAUAACCUGUGCCUGCAGCGAUCACAGCCAUGCAAAGAAGGUGCUGAUGUGUGCAUCCCUAUGGCCAGCCAA